UCCAACGACUUGAGUUAGACCCAGAGCUCAUCCUCCUAAGUAGGAAAUACCUGUUGGCAGACCCCUUUGGGCCACGUGGGGUCAAGAAGUGGGGUGCCCUGGUCUACAGUUCUUCAGCAGCCACUAUACCUGGGGCUCCCCAUCUGUCCCGAGGGCAUCAUCGGUAAUCUCGCACUUACCUACCCUGGCGGCCAGGCAGUGAAACCAAAGAAGCUACCAGAGAUCCCAUCCAGGAUACCACGUUUCGAUUAGUCAUCAAGUCUCCUGAGGCUCCUCUGGGUUGGAACAGUUUCACAGAUUUUUCUUGGUUUCCAUGACCUUGAUGGUUUUGAAGAGCACUGGUCAAGUAUUUUGGAGAAUGGCCCUCUAUGGGGAUUUGUCUGAUGUCUUUCUCAUAAUUAGACUGUGGUUAUAGGAAUUUGGGGGAAGAUCACAGAGGUCGGGAAGCAUUUCUAACAUACAUCAAAGGAACCUGUUAUCAACAUGACUUCCCACUGUUGAUGCUGACCUUGAUCACCAUCAGGCCGAGAUACUUUACAAAUAGAGCCACAAUAUCACAUCACACCCGGCGAAAUGAAC